rnacentral:rRNA from 1 species
UAGGGAAUCUUCCGCAAUGGACGAAAGUCUGACGGAGCAACGCCGCGUGAGUGAUGAAGGUUUUCGGAUCGUAAAGCUCUGUUGUUAGGGAAGAACAAGUGCCGUUUGAAUAAGGCGGCACCUUGACGGUACCUAACCAGAAAGCCACGGCUAACUACGUGCCAGCAGCCGCGGUAAUACGUAGGUGGCAAGCGUUGUCCGGAAUUAUUGGGCGUAAAGCGCGCGCAGGCGGUCUCUUAAGUCUGAUGUGAAAGCCCACGGCUCAACCGUGGAGGGUCAUUGGAAACUGGGAGACUUGAGUACAGAAGAGGAGAGUGGAAUUCCACGUGUAGCGGUGAAAUGCGUAGAUAUGUGGAGGAACACCAGUGGCGAAGGCGACUCUCUGGUCUGUAACUGACGCUGAGGCGCGAAAGCGUGGGGAGCAAACAGGAUUAGAUACCCUGGUAGUCCACGCCGUAAACGAUGAGUGCUAGGUGUUAGGGGUUUCGAUGCCCUUAGUGCCGAAGUUAACACAUUAAGCACUCCGCCUGGGGAGUACGACCGCAAGGUUG